rnacentral:rRNA from 1 species
CCUACGGGGGGCAGCAGUGGGGAAUAUUGCGCAAUGGGCGAAAGCCUGACGCAGCGACGCCGCGUGAGGGAUGAAGGUCUUCGGAUCGUAAACCUCUGUCAGCAGGGAAGAACGGUCACUGUGCUAAUCAGCAGUGAAUUGACGGUACCUGCAAAGGAAGCACCGGCUAACUCCGUGCCAGCAGCCGCGGUAAUACGGAGGGUGCGAGCGUUAAUCGGAAUUACUGGGCGUAAAGCGUUCGUAGGCGGUAUGUCAAGUCAAGGGGGAAAUCCCCGCGCUCAACGUGGGAAGUGCCUUUGAAACUGGCAAACUGGAGUGUGUGAGAGGAUAGUGGAAUUCCAGGUGUAGGAGUGAAAUCCGUAGAUAUCUGGAGGAACAUCAGUGGCGAAGGCGACUAUCUGGCACAUAACUGACGCUGAGGAGCGAAAGCGUGGGUAGCAAACAGGAUUAGAUACCCUGGUAGUC